rnacentral:misc_RNA from 1 species
UUAUACCUGGUCGGGAAAUAAAGUAUUUCGACAAAACGGUCUUAUUGUUUAAAAAUAUAGUAAUCACGUGAUCAAAGUAAGUGCAAAAAAAAUUUACCGAUUGAAGAAAGUCUUCAGUUUUAUUCACUUCUCUUAAUUCUAAAAGCUUGCCAUUCAAUUAAUUUUAAUAUUAAUUUUGUUCAAGCUGUUUAAAUAAUUAAGUUAAAAUUAUUUUAUAACUUUUUUGAGUUAAAAAUGCCUGGAGCAAAUUGUGCUUUUCCUGAAUGUGGAAUUACAAGAAACUCUAAACACCAAGGUAUUGGAAUAUUUCAACUUCCAAAUCGGCCAGAUGAUUUUCAUCAACAAUGGAGAAAAAAUAUACUAAACAUUUUGUCAAAAUGUAGACAUUUUGACAAGCAUUUCAAAGAGCGCAUUGCAAAUGGAAAUAUCUUUCUUUGUGAACUUCAUUUUGAGCCAACAGAUAUUGAGUUUACAAAAACUGGUCGAAAAACGUUAAAGCUUGGGGCAAUACCAUUGCUCAACAUUCCUAAGAAAUCUCAUGAAACUGUUAAAGCUCCUGAAAGAAGGCAUAUAUCUAUUGUUAAAGAUAUUUUGACUACAGAAGAAAAACAUACAGACAAAUACAAAAACUUUAGUGAACUUACUAACAUAGUAAAGAAGCUUAAACUCAAUUGGUUUAUAUCAUAGAAGUUGUUGUUGGAUGUAGUCUAGAAUUUUUUGUUAUUGUUUAUGGAUGGACAUUGCCUGAUGACCAUCACUUGUAUAAAGAAUUUUUACGAUCAGUUCGUCAUGUUAAAAUAUCAAAAUUGUUAAAUAAAGUUCAAUCUUUACAGAUGUGUACUGGCAUAACAUAUGACUUGGUAGAUUGCGAUAAAGAUGGAAAUCUAAUAAAUCAUUCUAUUCCUCAUAAAUUUGACCUUAACAAUGAGAAAAAAGUACCAUUUAAAGCUAGUCAAUAUAAACGUCACAAAGAUUGUUUUGUUAUUGGCUCUGAUUGUGAAAAGUGUGUAAAAUGUUUAAAUUUUGAAAUUAAUUUUAUUAAAUGUAAAGUUAGUACUUCAAAAAAAAUUGAUCAACCAGCUCAUUUGAAUGCCCCAUUAUCUGUCACACAUCCAAAUUGUGUAAAGUUAGCACUCGUUGAAGAGCGUUCUAAAAAUAAAAAACUUUUGCAGAAUAUUGAAAGAAUGCAAAAUGAAAUACAGGCUAAAGGUAUUCAAGUCAGCACUUGUUUAAGUUCUGAUCUUGAUAUUAUAAUUAGUAAAAACCAAAAAAACAUGACACCAUUUAUGAAACUUUUUUGGGAAGAACAGAAUCGUUUAUUAACUAGCAAAGUUCCUAGAUAUCAUCCAAUGAUAAUUCGAUUUUGUCUUUCUCUUGCAUCUAAAUCAGCCUCAGCAUAUGAUGAACUUAGAGAUGCUAAAAUUUUAACACUUCCAAGUAGGCGGACACUACGCGAUUAUAAGAAUGCUAUUCGAUCAUCUGUAGGAUUUAACCCAGCAGUGAUUGCUGAAUUAAAAGAAAAUACAAAAGACCUCUCUGAUAUUCAGCGAAAUGUUGUACUUUCUUUUGAUGAAAUACGCAUUCAAGACAAUUUAGUAUUUGACAAGUCAUCAGGUGAGCUCGUUGGAUACGUUGAUCUUGGAGACCCUGAAAUAAACUUUUCGACCUUUACUGAUGUAAAUGAUUUAGCCAGUCACUGUCUAGUAUAUUAUAUACGUGGAAUUGCAUGCGAUCUCAAAUUUUGUCUUGCAUAUUUUGCUACUAAUGGUGUAACAGCUAUGCAAAUAAUGCCAACAUUUUGGAAAGCUGUCUCUAUAUUAGAACUUUGUUGUAACUUGAAAGUAAUUGUUGCAGUUUCAGAUGGUGCCUCACCAAAUCGAUCAUUUUAUAAAAUGCAUCGUGGAUUAGACAAUCUAGAUGACUCAGAUGUUGUGUAUCGCACAACCUUAUGGAAGACGAAAUGAUAAUCCAACUUUAAUUCAGUUUGGCUAUCAAUCCAACACCUUGCAUAUGCAACGUUCUAUUGCACCAGUUACAGGGAAUACAAAAGGAAGUUUUAAGCAAAAACGUAGAGUUUCUUGGAAAUUUGUUGAUAAUGCUCCUUUAAAAAAACGAUCUACAAAGAAUGCUGUUAAUACUUCACAACAACAUUCUCACAAGGAGAGUUUCUGUUGCUAUAACUGAUUUUGGAGAGUUCUUGUAGAACAGAAGUUUAGAAAUCUAAUAUUUUUACGAUUUUUUAAAAGCCAAGACAGGAAUAUUGUUAAUUUUCGUACCAUUCACUAAAAGCUAUAUAAAUAUUGUGACAAGUUAUCGAAAUUGUCAUAGUAUUUUUUAUAAUUUUAUUAUUAUACUGUAUACUAUUGUACUGUUAUACUAUUUUAUAU